AGCCUUAAUUAAAUCAGAUCUAUUCUAAAAUUAAUUAGGACAUAAAUUAAUUUUCUCAAAAUCUCUAGGAUCACUAAUCAGAUCAUUAUCAUCUCUGAAAUUAAACCUGCACCUCAUGUCCAGUGCUAGCUAGACACAGUCAACUAUUUAAUCUUAUAUGAUCUCUUGCUAGAUGUGUGCUCUAGAUGCCAGAUCAGCUGACACAUUCCUGUACAGAUCUAUGGGCAAAUUUAUAAUUUUGACUAUAAAUGAAUAAAAGGGUUAUUCUUCUAUCACAUUGUAUACAUUGUAUCUGUGAUACAUUUUUUGAGUUAGUAGGAAUGUCAAUUCAUAUUUUCAAGAGUUAAAAAUUUAAGGCAUAAAUUUACAUAACUAAC
rnacentral:lncRNA from 1 species